ACCCAACUCUGCUCGCUGAAAAUGCGACCUCUUAAAUGAUCAUUGCAGGCGCCACUGUUACCCACCUAUACAGCCACCACCACCACCACCACCACCACCUCCGCACCACUCACUCCCUGCAGCUUCUAAUACUUUUAUUUCUUUUGUUGUCUUUCCCCUUACUUUCUUUCAUUUUUUUUUUUUUUAAUGCUGUCUCUGGAAAGGAAAAGAAAGAAUCCCAAAUCAUCCACAGAUGGUACAACUUUCACUUUUCCUCUCUUAGGACCGAGGCGCGCCUCUUUCUCCCGGCUCACUCAUACCCCACCCCCGAUGGGAAGCGCAAGCUGGAGGAAGCCCCCGCCGCGGCGCUCCUCGCGCGCACCCACCUCACCGCCCGCCGCCUUCAGCGCCCGACCCUCGGGGGCUAGCGGAGUUCCUUUCAGCCCUCGGGAAAAGGAGUCGGGGCGAGGGGAGCAGUCGCCGCAACUGCUCCAAACUUCGUCCCCCGACCUCCCAACUCCGGGAGGUGAAAUUCUCCAGCCCGUCUCCGGAUGGCCGCCAGUGUAUCCAGCCUGGACCUGUAACCCAAACAAGGAGUUCCCAAGGGAGGAACAACGAAAGGAAAAGAAAACUCUGGUGGCAUUCCCGAAUCCAUUCUUCCUGGGGUCAUCUGAGAUUCCGCCCACCCUCCGGUGGCCGCCCGCAGCGCCUCGGAGCUCAGGGUGCACUAGUGUUGACUCCUAGAGCAUCUUUGACUGAAGGAUUUUUUUGCGUAGGUGGAUGAAUGAUUAGCUAUUAUGAUCUGAAGAGCAUUUUGAGAUUCACAUGCUUAGCUGGAGAAUUUUUUAAGGGAAUUGUUGGUGGUAUUCACUAUUUGUUUCCUGGGACUUGUUGCUUAUCUCAAAGAUAUCACAAAAGCAGACCCUGACUUAAGCUUUUAUGGUAGAAGCAGUGGAGAUAAAGGAGGACUGAAGGUCCUUAUGAGCCAUUUAUUUUACAGUUUCUCUCUGUAUUUCACCAUGAUUGGAAGAAAAAAAAAAUCACUGACUCAUCAUUCAGAGCAGUAGCCUUAGGAUUCAAGGGUGGUGGUCCCAGCUUCCCCUCACUAACUGGCCUCAGGCCCAGGAGGAUUCUCUGAGCAUCCACAGGCUCUGGGCUCAUCUGUGGACUGGUGAUAGGAAAACCAGGCCAGUCCGCAUACCUCCCAGGAUUUGAAAGAGCUUCCAAGGAGAUAAUGCAUGUGAAAGUGGAAAUGGAUACAAAUGCCUAAGAAUUGUAUUAUGCUCUUUCCCACAUAUACUUCAGCAUCAGUCACAAUAUUUUUUUGUAUUCAAGUACUGCUUCUGCCUCAAUCACAUGAAUGCAAAUAAUGCAUUCCUGAUAGCCUCCUCUGUUCACCCAAUGGCAAAAAAAAAAAAAAAGUAAAAAGGAGAACGACAGCCAAUAAAUCAACAACUGGAAUAAACUAGAUAUUUUGA
rnacentral:lncRNA from 1 species